GGAGAGGCCGUCUUGUGAUUUGAGAGCUCGCAGCUGAUGUGCAGAUAGCAUUAUCUGUCCCGUGACAAGGAAAGGAGGCGCGCGGCCCUCUUUCGGUGUAGGGGGGGAGCAUGUGUGAGGGACAGUAGGAGGUAAGGAAGUUGAGGGGAAAAGCAUGAGAUGCUUGGUAACACAUGCGCGCGCACAUGCAUGCAUGUACGCGUGCAAGGACAGUCAUCAGUCACGCAGAGGCGCAGUGCGCAGGUUACUCACCGUCCUUCGUCGGGGCCCUGGGUGUCCCCCAGUGGAACCAGUGAAACCCCCGGCAGGUGUCCUGAAACGGCGGUGAGCGGUCAGUCACCUGCUGCUCUCCAUCUCUAGACCCUCCGAGCGCUGAGGGCAGAGGAGGAGGGGGAGGAGGGGGAGGAAGAAGAGGAGGAGGAAAGAGGUCGAAAAAUCCCGCAAGUUCAAAGACAAAGUUUGAUUCGAGGCAACAGUUUAUCCUCCGCUGGAACUUGUCUGCUGCUGCUGCUGCAAAGAUUCCAGGCUCCUGUCCGGAUGCCGCCGUUUCAGGCUGCCGGGUGAAAUCCUAUUGGUUGCAACAAACAGCCCCAACUUCCAAGACGCGUUUAAAAUCUCCCUCCACCCAAAACACCCCCUCCCUGUGACCGUGUGAAGAGACGUCCUGACAAAUGGAACAGCGUGCUCACCUGUCUGUUCAAUAAACACGGAGCGCAGAGAGAGAGAGAGAGAGAGAAGAGAGAGAAGAGAGAGAUGCUCCUCACACAUUCAACAGCCGCUCCUGUGUUGCAAUGCGGGUGCUGCUGCUGCCGUGGCAAAAAAUCCAAAUCUCUCGCUCUAACGCACACACCAACACACACACACCCCUCCUCGGUUGCCCAUGCUACCCCCAAAUGUGCUUCCUCCAGCGCCCGGAGCUGACCAGGACAGACGGGAUGCGGCGAGCAGCGAGCGUGUGGAGGAGGGUGGAGGAGAGCUCACUGUUGGAGGAGGCACGGGAGCUGGAUGAGAGAGCGCGAUGUGGAUACCUGAGGGAGAUUUGGGUGAAAUUAGGAGAACAAACAACACAUUUUAGGGACGGAGUGCUGUGCAUCCAUGGUGAUGUUUGGAUCACACUGUUCUUCUGAGAUGUCAU
ensembl:lncRNA